ACUCAAAUGAAUUGACGGGGGCCCGCACAAGCGGUGGAUGAUGUGGUUUAAUUCGAUGCAACGCGAAAAACCUUACCUACCCUUGACAUGUACGGAAGUCUCCAGAGAUGGAGACGUGCCCGAAAGGGAGCCGUAACACAGGUGCUGCAUGGCUGUCGUCAGCUCGUGUCGUGAGAUGUUGGGUUAAGUCCCGCAACGAGCGCAACCCUUGCCAUUAGUUGCUACAUUCAGUUGAGCACUCUAAUGGGACUGCCGGUGACAAACCGGAGGAAGGUGGGGAUGACGUCAAGUCCUCAUGGCCCUUAUGGGUAGGGCUACACACGUCAUACAAUGGCGGAUACAGAGGGUUGCCAACCCGCGAGGGGGAGCUAAUCUCAGAAAGUCCGUCGUAGUCCGGAUUGCAGUCUGCAACUCGACUGCAUGAAGUCGGAAUCGCUAGUAAUCGCGGAUCAGCAUGUCGCGGUGAAUACGUUCCCGGGCCUUGUACACACCGCCCGU
rnacentral:rRNA from 1 species